rnacentral:rRNA from 1 species
UUUGAUCUCUGCUCAGGACGAACGCUGGCGGCGUGCCUAAUACAUGCAAGUCGAGCGGACAGAUGGGAGCUUGCUCCCUGAUGUUAGCGGCGGACGGGUGAGUAACACGUGGGUAACCUGCCUGUAAGACUGGGAUAACUCCGGGAAACCGGGGCUAAUACCGGAUGGUUGUUUGAACCGCAUGGUUCAGACAUAAAAGGUGGCUUCGGCUACCACUUACAGAUGGACCCGCGGCGCAUUAGCUAGUUGGUGAGGUAACGGCUCACCAAGGCAACGAUGCGUAGCCGACCUGAGAGGGUGAUCGGCCACACUGGGACUGAGACACGGCCCAGACUCCUACGGGAGGCAGCAGUAGGGAAUCUUCCGCAAUGGACGAAAGUCUGACGGAGCAACGCCGCGUGAGUGAUGAAGGUUUUCGGAUCGUAAAGCUCUGUUGUUAGGGAAGAACAAGUGCCGUUCAAAUAGGGCGGCACCUUGACGGUACCUAACCAGAAAGCCACGGCUAACUACGUGCCAGCAGCCGCGGUAAUACGUAGGUGGCAAGCGUUGUCCGGAAUUAUUGGGCGUAAAGGGCUCGCAGGCGGUUUCUUAAGUCUGAUGUGAAAGCCCCCGGCUCAACCGGGGAGGGUCAUUGGAAACUGGGGAACUUGAGUGCAGAAGAGGAGAGUGGAAUUCCACGUGUAGCGGUGAAAUGCGUAGAGAUGUGGAGGAACACCAGUGGCGAAGGCGACUCUCUGGUCUGUAACUGACGCUGAGGAGCGAAAGCGUGGGGAGCGAACAGGAUUAGAUACCCUGGUAGUCCACGCCGUAAACGAUGAGUGCUAAGUGUUAGGGGGUUUCCGCCCCUUAGUGCUGCAGCUAACGCAUUAAGCACUCCGCCUGGGGAGACG